UACGUAGGGGGCGAGCGUUGUCCGGAUUCAUUGGGCGUAAAGCGCGCGUGGGCGGCCCCGCAAGUCGGCCGUGAAAUCUCCGGGCUCAACUCGGAGGGGUCGGGCGAGACUGCGGGGCUGGAGGUGGGCAGAGGGCUGUGGAAUUCCGGGUGUAGUGGUGGAAUGCGUAGAGAUCCGGAGGAACACCAGUGGCGAAGGCGGCAGCCUGGGCCUGGCCUGACGCUGAGGCGCGAAAGCGUGGGGAGCGAUCCGG
rnacentral:rRNA from 1 species